GGGGAACUGAAACAUCUAAGUACCCCGAGGAAAAGAAAUCAACCGAGAUUCCCCCAGUAGCGGCGAGCGAACGGGGAGGAGCCCAGAGCCUGAAUCAGCAUGUGUGUUAGUGGAAGCGUCUGGAAAGGCGCGCGAUACAGGGUGACAGCCCCGUACACAAAAGCGCAUGUGCUGUGAGCUCGAUGAGUAGGGCGGGACACGUGGUAUCCUGUCUGAAUAUGGGGGGACCAUCCUCCAAGGCUAAAUACUCCUGACUGACCGAUAGUGAACCAGUACCGUGAGGGAAAGGCGAAAAGAACCCCGGCGAGGGGAGUGAAAAAGAACCUGAAACCGUGUACGUACAAGCAGUGGGAGCACAGGUUUACCUGUGUGACUGCGUACCUUUUGUAUAAUGGGUCAGCGACUUAUAUUCUGUAGCAAGGUUAACCGAAUAGGGGAGCCGGAGGGAAACCGAGUCUUAAUUGGGCGUUAAGUUGCAGGGUAUAGACCCGAAACCCGGUGAUCUAGCCAUGGGCAGGUUGAAGGUUGGGUAACACUAACUGGAGGACCGAACCGACUAAUGUUGAAAAAUUAGCGGAUGACCUGUGGCUGGGGGUGAAAGGCCAAUCAAACCGGGAGAUAGCUGGUUCUCCCCGAAAGCUAUUUAGGUAGCGCCUCGUGAAUUCAUCUCCGGGGGUAGAGCACUGUUUCGGCUAGGGGGCCAUCCCGGCUUACCAACCCGAUGCAAACUGCGAAUACCGGAGAAUGUUAUCACGGGAGACACACGGCGGGUGCUAACGUCCGUCGUGAAGAGGGAAACAACCCAGACCGCCAGCUAAGGUCCCAAAGUCAUGGUUAAGUGGGAAACGAUGUGGGAAGGCCCAGACAGCCAGGAUGUUGGCUUAGAAGCAGCCAUCAUUUAAAGAAAGCGUAAUAGCUCACUGGUCGAGUCGGCCUGCGCGGAAGAUGUAACGGGGCUAAACCAUGCACCGAAGCUGCGGCAGCGAACGUAUCACUUAAAGCGAUUCAGCGGGUUACGAUUGACGGAGCGAAGCGACGUCAAAGCGUAUACAAAGUCGAGUCGGUUUAAGGAUACGUUCGUUGGGUAGGGGAGCGUUCUGUAAGCCUGUGAAGGUGGCCUGUGAGGGUUGCUGGAGGUAUCAGAAGUGCGAAUGCUGACAUAAGUAACGAUAAAGCGGGUGAAAAGCCCGCUCGCCGGAAGACCAAGGGUUCCUGUCCAACGUUAAUCGGGGCAGGGUGAGUCGACCCCUAAGGCGAGGCCGAAAGGCGUAGUCGAUGGGAAACGGGUUAAUAUUCCCGUACUUGGUGUUACUGCGAAGGGGGGACGGAGAAGGCUAUGUUGGCCGGGCGACGGUUGUCCCGGUUUAAGCGUGUAGGUGUGUGUUCCAGGUAAAUCCGGUUCACUUUAACACUGAGGCGUGACGACGAGGCACUACGGUGCUGAAGCAACAAAUGCCCUGCUUCCAGGAAAAGCCUCUAAGCAUCAGGUAACAUCAAAUCGUACCCCAAACCGACACAGGUGGUCAGGUAGAGAAUACCAAGGCGCUUGAGAGAACUCGGGUGAAGGAACUAGGCAAAAUGGUGCCGUAACUUCGGGAGAAGGCACGCUGACACGUAGGUGAAGUGAUUUACUCAUGGAGCUGAAGUCAGUCGAAGAUACCAGCUGGCUGCAACUGUUUAUUAAAAACACAGCACUGUGCAAACACGAAAGUGGACGUAUACGGUGUGACGCCUGCCCGGUGCCGGAAGGUUAAUUGAUGGGGUCAGCGCAAGCGAAGCUCCUGAUCGAAGCCCCGGUAAACGGCGGCCGUAACUAUAACGGUCCUAAGGUAGCGAAAUUCCUUGUCGGGUAAGUUCCGACCUGCACGAAUGGCGUAAUGAUGGCCAGGCUGUCUCCACCCGAGACUCAGUGAAAUUGAACUCGCUGUGAAGAUGCAGUGUACCCGCGGCAAGACGGAAAGACCCCGUGAACCUUUACUAUAGCUUGACACUGAACAUUGAGCCUUGAUGUGUAGGAUAGGUGGGAGGCUUUGAAGUGUGGACGCCAGUCUGCAUGGAGCCGACCUUGAAAUACCACCCUUUAAUGUUUGAUGUUCUAACGUGGACCCGUAAUCCGGGUUGCGGACAGUGUCUGGUGGGUAGUUUGACUGGGGCGGUCUCCUCCUAAAGAGUAACGGAGGAGCACGAAGGUUGGCUAAUCCUGGUCGGACAUCAGGAGGUUAGUGCAAUGGCAUAAGCCAGCUUGACUGCGAGCGUGACGGCGCGAGCAGGUGCGAAAGCAGGUCAUAGUGAUCCGGUGGUUCUGAAUGGAAGGGCCAUCGCUCAACGGAUAAAAGGUACUCCGGGGAUAACAGGCUGAUACCGCCCAAGAGUUCAUAUCGACGGCGGUGUUUGGCACCUCGAUGUCGGCUCAUCACAUCCUGGGGCUGAAGUAGGUCCCAAGGGUAUGGCUGUUCGCCAUUUAAAGUGGUACGCGAGCUGGGUUUAGAACGUCGUGAGACAGUUCGGUCCCUAUCUGCCGUGGGCGCUGGAGAACUGAGGGGGGCUGCUCCUAGUACGAGAGGACCGGAGUGGACGCAUCACUGGUGUUCGGGUUGUCAUGCCAAUGGCACUGCCCGGUAGCUAAAUGCGGAAGAGAUAAGUGCUGAAAGCAUCUAAGCACGAAACUUGCCCCGAGAUGAGUUCUCCCUGAGACUUUAAGUCUCCUGAAGGAACGUUGAAGACGACGACGUUGAUAGGCCGGGUGUGUAAGCGCAGCGAUGCGUUGAGCUAACCGGUACUAAUGAACCGUGAGGCUUAACCUU
rnacentral:rRNA from 1 species